rnacentral:rRNA from 1 species
GAUGAACGCUAGCGGCAGGCUUAAUACAUGCAAGUCGAGGGGCAUCAAGGUACACGAAAGUGUAUUGUUGGCGACCGGCGGACGGGUGAGUAAUAGGUAGGUAACCUACCUCAUACUGAGGCAUAGCUGGGAGAAAUUCCAGGUAAUUCCUCAUGAGGUUAUAUGACACAUGUGAUAUAAUCAAAGGUAUCGCAAGGUACUGGUAUGAGAUGGGCUUACUGACCAUUAGCUAGUUGGUGAGAUAAGAGCUCACCAAGGCGAAGAUGGUUAGGGGUUUUGAGAGAGAGAUCCCCCACAUUGGAACUGAGAUACGGUCCAGACUCCUACGGGAGCAGCAGUAGGGAAUAUUGGGCAAUGGGCGGAAGCCUGACCCAGCCAUGCCGCGUGAAGGAAGACGGCCUUAUGGUUGUAAACUUCUUUACUAUGCGACUAACUAGAUUUACGAGAUAAUCUAUAGAAUGUAGCAUAGCAAAAAGCACCGGUA